rnacentral:lncRNA from 1 species
GCCUAUAGAGGAAAGGAAUACAUUAGCAGUCAAAAGAUAUACUACUUCAAUAAAUCCAUUGGUUGUCAAAUUAACAUUGUAGUGGUGGAAACAUUUUAGGAGGCCAUUAUAAGAUAUCAUAGGCUCAUAAGUUGUGGCAUAACGAGUCUGUAGUCCUAAAUUACGCACACCAACUACAUUAUUUCAUUCAAUUCCUCACACUCAGAUUUCGGAGACUUGUAAAGCAGAAUUACAAGGAAACAUUGAUGCCAAGUCAGAUGAAGGUGCACAAAGCAGGAAAUGCUAAUUUCUUGAGAAGUGUCUAGCUAAUAUAAAAGUUCUUUCUGCACAAUAUCAAUGUAAUGAAAGGUGGGGCUUCGGGGCGCUCCACCUGGAGCAGCAGUGUAACCUCAAUACAGCAAGUGCCGCAUGCUCUGUUCAAUCAGAUUCAUCAAGCAAACAAAUACAUUUCUCAUCUGUUGGUCAACUAGUCACUUCUAAGAAUAUACUUACCAAUGAUACUUUGAUAAUCAAGGGGCAGGAUGAUCAGUUAAAAAUAUAGUGUGAACAGGUAGAGGGUAGUAGUUAUUCAAAAUGGCAUAUGAUGUUCUAGAGUAGAGUGGCAAACUCCCACAUUAGUACUUUCAUUACAGUUCCCACAGAUUGAAUCACAUGGUGACCAGAAAGUGAAUCUAAAUCGCACAAGGGACAAAUACUGUGCUGGGAAAUCCUUCUGUGCAGAUGUCAUGACAAAGCUAGUUAUUUCUAUUUUGUUUUUAUGGUAAAAUAGCAAAGCUAGUUACUAAGAAAUAUAUAAGAUUUGAUGGAGGCUGGGCUCUUGUGGCCCUCAACUCUUGCAACUAUUCAUCAUAUUGUGGUCUCAAAAAAGAGCCGAGGUCCAUAAGCUAUAUGUAAGUUACGCCUCUUCCAGCAAGCUCUUGUGGCCCUCAACUCUUGCAACCAUUCAUCAUAUUGUGGUCUCAAGAAAGAGCCGAGGUCCAUAAGCUAUAUGUAAGUUACGCCUCUUCCAGCAAGCUCUUGUGGCCCUCAACUCUUGCAACCAUUCAUCAUAUUGUGGUCUCAAGAAAGAGCCGAGGUCCAUAAGCUAUAUGUAAGUUACGCCUCUUCCAGCAAGGCUCCAUGAAUGGCCACAUGGCAUCAUGUAGUAAGCAAAUCCAGGCCCACAAUCCACGUCAUCCCGCCCAUGUGGCAAUUUCUGCUGAACCCCCACGGAAGGCCAAACGCAUAUGCAGAGGUUGAACUCAUAUGACAUGGCCAAACCCUCAUUGAUGAGGCGAGACAAUAUGAGGCACUGCAGAUGAUGAUCUCUUCACCAAACAGUUAGUAUUUAACCUUUCAUACUAUAAAAGCUCACAUAUUAUGUCAUUUGAAGCUAAUGCAAUUUUAUUCUAUCAAUUAUAACUUUACUCUUACAGUAUUCUUUCUACAUUCAUACUCUCGGAUCUGAAACUCUUAUAUUGGGCUCACGUAUUUGGCACAUCCCACACCCAAAUGCUUAUUCACAAAUAGAUAGACUUGAUUCCAAUGAAAAAUCUUCGACUGUUCCAUUUCCAAAGUAAUUGAAGAGCACAAUUGGGUUCACCCUGAGAUCCGAAGAUGCCAACCAGAGUGAACCUGCAGAGAGUGGCCCAGCAAUAAUCUCCAUCAGGGCGGCCACAAUGAGAUAAAUUGGUGAAGCUGGGUUCUAAAUGAAAACUGAAUGAGAGGGCAAGCGAAACAUCGUCGGAGCGCUCGUGGCCGCCUCCCUCGGACCCCACCAGCGGAGAAAGUUUUGUACUCUUAACAGUUUGCCCAAGUGUACAAGAAGAAGCUACAUGGACGUGAGAGGAACCAGCAUCUGUUGGCCACGCCCCCACUACAAAAAACGAGGUCAACGCUAUCCAUGUAAAACUAAAAGACUUCACAAUACCACAAAGAUUAGAAUCAAGAGGCUAGUACUGCCAAUUAUCAAACUAUUGCUCCAAAAUGCAAGAUGGUUCUUCUCACUUAACGUCCAUGGUGAUCUAUAUAAACAGUUGUAUUAAGCCACAAAAAACGAGACGUGUGACAAAAUCUACACCAAUUACGCUUUCAUAAAAGUUAACAAAAAGGUAUGAAUUUCGUAACCACUUCUAAGCAAUCAACACAAAUAUAUAAAUAAACAGACGUGCAUAUAUGCAUAUAUAUCUCUAUUAAGAUGGUCAAUAGUGUCGUUCUCUUUAGUAGAUGAUCACCUG